UACAGAGGGUGCGAGCGUUAAUCGGAAUUACUGGGCGUAAAGCGUGCGUAGACGGUCAUGUAAGUCGGGUGUGAAAGCCCCGGGCUCAACCUGGGAAUUGCAUUCGAGACUGCAUGGCUAGGAUGCGGAAGAGGGAAGCGGAAUUUCCGGUGUAGCGGUGAAAUGCGUAGAUAUCGGAAGGAACACCAGUGGCGAAAGCGGCUUCCUGGUCCAGCAUCGACGUUCAGGCACGAAAGCGUGGGGAGCAAAC
rnacentral:rRNA from 1 species